rnacentral:rRNA from 1 species
AUUGAACGCUGGCGGCAGGCUUAACACAUGCGAGUCAAGCGGGGUGAUGGUGCUUGCACUAUCACUUAGCGGCGGACGGGUGAGUAAUGCUUAGGAAUCUGCCUAUUAGUGGGGGACAACAUCUCGAAAGGGAUGCUAAUACCGCAUACGUCCUACGGGAGAAAGCAGGGGAUCACUUGUGACCUUGCGCUAAUAGAUGAGCCUAAGUCGGAUUAGCUAGUUGGUGGGGUAAAGGCCUAACAAGGCGACGAUCUGUAGCGGGUCUGAGAGGAUGAUCCGCCACACUGGGACUGAGGCACGGCCCAGACUCCUACGGGAGGCAGCAGUGGGGAAUAUUGGACAAUGGGGGGAACCCUGAUCCAGCCAUGCCGCGUGUGUGAAGAAGGCCUUAUGGUUGUAAAGCACUUUAAGCGAGGAGGAGGCUCUUUUGGUUAAUACCCAAGAUGAGUGGACGUUACUCGCAGAAUAAGCACCGGCUAACUCUGUGCCAGCCGCCGCGGUAA